UUGAAAUGAGAAUAAAUGAAUAAAUGAAAAUGGGACCGAUACAGAGAUUAGCAUCGCCCUUGCGCAAGGAUGACACACAUAUUCAUGAAGCAUUCCAUGUUAAA